UCAGACCCGAGGGUGACUGUGAGGAAGGACGAUGUUCAGCAGCUGAACCCUCCGAUGUUCGACCAAGGCCGGCGUCCUGGAAAACCACGUCAACAUGAGACCUACUCGGGCCUCUUCUGUGUGACGAUCAACCCAUACAAAUGACUGCCCAUCUAUGGCUCUAAAGUGGCCCAGAUACAAGGGGAAGUAACGCAACGAAGUUCCUCCUCACCUCCUUCUCCGCCCACCACGACAUGCUGAUGGUGCAAGAAAAC